rnacentral:rRNA from 1 species
GGGAACGUGCCUUCUGGUUCGGAAUAACUCAGGGAAACUUGAGCUAAUACCGGAUACGCCCUUUUGGGGAAAGGUUUACUGCCGGAAGAUCGGCCCGCGUCUGAUUAGCUAGUUGGUGGGGUAACGGCCUACCAAGGCGACGAUCGGUAGCUGGUCUGAGAGGAUGAUCAGCCACACUGGGACUGAGACACGGCCCAGACUCCUACGGGAGGCAGCAGUGGGGAAUAUUGGACAAUGGGCGCAAGCCUGAUCCAGCCAUGCCGCGUGAGUGAUGAAGGCCUUAGGGUUGUAAAGCUCUUUUAUCCGGGACGAUAAUGACGGUACCGGAGGAAUAAGCCCCGGCUAACUUCGUGCCAGCAGCCGCGGUAAUACGAAGGGGGCUAGCGUUGCUCGGAAUCACUGGGCGUAAAGGGCGCGUAGGCGGUCUUUUAAGUCGGGGGUGAAAGCCUGUGGCUCAACCACAGAAUUGCCUUCGAUACUGGGAGACUUGAGUUCGGAAGAGGUUGGUGGAACUGCGAGU